rnacentral:rRNA from 1 species
AUUGAACGCUGGCGGCAUGCCUUACACAUGCAAGUCGAACGGUAACAGGUUAAGCUGACGAGUGGCGAACGGGUGAGUAAUGUAUCGGAACGUGCCCAGUCGUGGGGGAUAACUGCUCGAAAGAGCAGCUAAUACCGCAUACGACCUGAGGGUGAAAGCGGGGGAUCGCAAGACCUCGCGCGAUUGGAGCGGCCGAUAUCAGAUUAGGUAGUUGGUGAGUUAAAGGCUCACCAAGCCGACGAUCUGUAGCUGGUCUGAGAGGACGACCAGCCACACUGGGACUGAGACACGGCCCAGACUCCUACGGGAGGCAGCAGUGGGGAAUUUUGGACAAUGGGCGCAAGCCUGAUCCAGCCAUGCCGCGUGCGGGAAGAAGGCCUUCGGGUUGUAAACCGCUUUUGUCAGGGAAGAAAAGGUUCUGGCUAAUACCUGGGACUCAUGACGGUACCUGAAGAAUAAGCACCGGCUAACUACGUG